UACGGAGGGUGCAAGCGUUAUCCGGAUUCACUGGGUUUAAAGGGCGCGUAGGCGGCUCGCGAGGUCGGGGGUGAAAUCCCGCAGCUUAACUGCGGAAGGGCCUCCGAUACCGGCGGGCUGGAGGAAGGUAGGGGUGUGCGGAACUUCUGGUGGAGCGGUGAAAUGCGUUGAUAUCAGAAGGAACGCCGGCGGCGAAAGCGGCGCACUGGACCUGUUCUGACGCUGAGGCGCGAAAGCUAGGGGAGCAAACGGG
rnacentral:rRNA from 1 species